CCUAAAUUUUCCCCCCUAAAGUUGGUAUCCUCAAAACACCCAAGGGUUUCUCUCUGCCACCACCGUCUUCAUCAUCAUCUUCCCUUCUCUCCCUCUUUUUGCAUACAUCUCAGAAGAGCUCAUACUUCAUCUGUUUCUUAUGUGACUCUGAAGCCUCUUUCUUUCCUUCAACAUACCCAAGAUUGUCUUCACCCCUGGGCAAGAUAAAUGCUUCACAUGCGGUCAGAUGGGCCAUAUAGCGGCAAAUUGUGAAGGAAAGGCAAAGAGGAAGGAAGGAGAAUUUGAUGAGAAAGCUGAUGGAAAAACUGUGGCCAGAAAGCCAUAUCAGUUCUUGAACAUAUGGACCCUUAGGGAGUAUCUGGAAUAUGAGAUGAGAAUCCCCAAUCCUCCUUUUGAAAUUGACUUGGAACGCGUUUAAUUCUCUGUUUUAAUUCUCUAUUUUUUCCUUCAUUUUUUAAUGUUAAAUUUAUCCUUUCAACCCCAUCGAUUUUGGAUCUCAUAAUUUAUUUUUGGUUCUUAGGUUCAGUGAGCUGUAUUGGGUGCUUUUCGGGAGAUUUUCUUUCAUUUUCCUUUCUCCUAUUUCAGUGGAUUUAUUUUUGGUUCUCCUACUGCAUAUGUUGAUUCACGAAUUCUAAAAGCUGUUGCUAUCGAGAACUCUAAGGAUGUGGACGCAGCUGCGGAGAUUGUUCUGUCUGAGACUCUGCCUUACCUAUCUAAAUGAACCGUGGCUGGUAGUUCUUCCUCAUGGAAUCGGAGCCCUCCUGUGCAAGCAAAUGAAGGUAGCUGUCCGUUGCAAAGUCGCUUUUGCGGACUCGGCGUCGGCUCAAACUUGAUCCAGCUAAUAAGCUAUAUUUUCCAUUUUGAUGAGCAGAAGGAUCAAGUUGCAAUAGAACAAAUACUACGGGUUGUUUUCCUAGAUCCUAAGCGUCCUUGUCCUGUAAGUCCCAUUAGCUUGUUACUCCCGUUUCCACAACUAUAUGUGCCUUCAUUCACGUUUGCUUCUGCUUUUAGACAUUUGCUUUGUUUGCUUUGUUUCUUGCUUGGGACCAGCUGCUAAUAAGAAGCCUGUCACUGAUCAGCAGUAUCAGAAAGGACAUCAAGAGGCUCUCAUUUUGGGGGGCCUGGAACUGAUAUCAGCUGAAAUGAUUCCACUUUAAUCCGUGGCCUCAUUGUGGAUUAAUUCCUUUUGAUGCUUGCAUACAUUUGGAGGUCCAUGGGAUUUCUGUAAAGUCCGAGACCAAUGAACCAAAACAGCAAAAAUUACGUAUCUGGAAUCGUGAAAUGAAGGAAUUUGAGUGAAUUCGAUAUGUCAAAAUUGGGUAUUGGAUUUGAUGAUGAGAAGUUCGAAAGAAAAACAUCGGAAAAGGCAUUAGUUUUGUCUCAGAUUAACGUUUGAAAAACAGAAAUAUGGAUGUGCUGCUGUUUGAUUUCAGAGAAAAUAAGGAAACUACAAAAAUGAACUUAGAGAAGCUUCAGCUAAUAUUGAACAAAGCAUCAAAACGACGUUGCAGAUUUAAUAAAUAGUUACAUAAGUUUAUACCCAAAAUGGGUUUUUGAUCUCAGGCACUUAGAUUAAGGUCGAAUGAGCUAAAAUUGGAGAGGCAAUUGGAGAACAUAGAGGCUGAAAUUUCUUCUUUCAAGUAUGCUGUAAUUUUUCUUUUUUUUUUGUUCUUGUGGUUAUUGCUGCCCCUGUUUCUGGGAGUGAUUGUGUAAACAUUUUAGUGUGCUUUAGUUAUUGUAAGAAUAUUUUUAACAUUGUUAAUUUUAAUAUUAUUGUAAGAAUAUUGUGAAUUAUAAUUCAGUUAUCAAUUUAUAUCAUUUAUCUUUCAUUGAA